GACAGAGGUGCCGAGCGUUAGGCGGAAUCACUGGGCUUAAAGCGUGUGUAGGCGGAGUGCUAAGUACCUUGUGAAAUCCCACGGCUUAACCGUGGAACUGCUUGGUAUACUGGUUCUCUUGGGUCAUCUAGGGGCGAGCGGAACAAACGGUGGAGCGGUGAAAUGCGUAGAUAUCGUUUGGAACGCCAAUGGUGAAAACAGCUCGCUGGGGAUGCACCGACGCUGAGGCGCGAAAGCCAGGGGAGCAAACGGG
rnacentral:rRNA from 1 species